rnacentral:rRNA from 1 species
GAUGAACGCUGGCGGCGUGCCUAAUACAUGCAAGUCGAGCGAACAGACGAGGAGCUUGCUCCUCUGACGUUAGCGGCGGACGGGUGAGUAACACGUGGAUAACCUACCUAUAAGACUGGGAUAACUUCGGGAAACCGGAGCUAAUACCGGAUAAUAUAUUGAACCGCAUGGUUCAAUAGUGAAAGACGGUUUUGCUGUCACUUAUAGAUGGAUCCGCGCCGCAUUAGCUAGUUGGUAAGGUAACGGCUUACCAAGGCGACGAUGCGUAGCCGACCUGAGAGGGUGAUCGGCCACACUGGAACUGAGACACGGUCCAGACUCCUACGGGAGGCAGCAAUAGGGAAUCUUCCGCAAUGGGCGAAAGCCUGGCGGAGCAACGCCGCGUGAGUGAUGAAGGUCUUCGGAUCGUAAAACUCUGUUAUUAGGGAAGAACAAAUGUGUAAGUAACUAUGCACGUCUUGACGGUACCUAAUCAGAAAGCCACGGCUAACUACGUG